AUUCGGGUAGUUUAAUAAAAAUAUUGAUUUGUGGCGUCAAAGAUGCAUGAUGUGCUUCGGAUA
rnacentral:tRNA from 2 species